AGUAGUUAUCAGGGACUGGAGAGAGGGAAGAAUGAGAAGUGACUACUUCAUGGAUACAAGGUUUUCUCUGGGGGUGAUGAAAAUAUUUUGACAUCUGAUAAAGGUGGUGGUAGUACAGCACUGUGAAUGUACCAAUUGCCACUGAAUUGUGCAUUUUAAAGUGAUUGAUUUUAUGUGGAACAAAUUUCACUUUAAUUAUAAAAAGUGAAUAAACUUUUAGAAGCUAACCUUGGAAGAAGGUAGAGACUGGAAGGGAUCACAAGAAAGGCUUCUGGGAUGUUGGUUGAUUUCUCUAAGAAGUACAUGCUGAAAUGAAGAUAAGAGUACAAAAUAUUUAUCGGAGAGUAGUAACACAGAGGAGACACAGGAUUUGGCAGAAACACUAAACCAUGGUGAAGACCGGCUAAAGUCUCUUUGUCCAAAGGGGAGCUCUAAAGUAAAUAUGAGCCAUUAAGGGAGCCCCACACUGGAUGGAAAUGGCCAAGCCUUUUUACAACCACCUUCUCCUUGAGACACUGCCUGCAAUUCACCCUGGGAAAGCAAAACCUCAACUGUUUCUGCCUCAUUCAUUCUUUGUCAGUGCCGUAAGAAGAUUGAGAUUUCAGCUUGUAACUGUUGAAGCAAAACCUAAAGUGGUUAAUAAUGGGAGUUUGUCACAACUAUCUUAACACAAAUAUAAAAUAUUUGCAUGAA
rnacentral:lncRNA from 1 species